ACAGGUUUGUGAUUUCAUGGAUAUAUAUAUAUAUAGCAUAUUAAAAAGUACAUCAAAGCUAACGUAUCUGUCUGCAUGGUCAGCCUAAACAGACAGUUUUCAUGACAGGCACAUGAGAUCACUUAAUUCAUCUUUGACAGUAUAUUCCCAUGUGUGUUCAGGUGAACACUUGACAUGCCUCUGCAUGUGUUCAUGAUGGGUAUCACUGGUGGGGCUGGAUGUGCUUAACUUUCUUAUGAUUAAACCUAAACAUAUACCUAACUACAAAAUGUCAGUACCUUAGAAUACUUAUUCUAAAAGUCCAGUCAAAGUCAAACUGCUAAUCAUAUAGUUUUAUUGUUCAAUAAACAAUUAUGACCUGCAUGUGUCCUGAAAGUUGAACCUGAAAUGUCAUUUUAGUUUGUUAUUGAAAUCAUGUCAUACAAAAGUAGUUUCCUCUCGAUAACCUGUAAACCCAUGACUGUGUAACAACAGAUGAACACAAAUUCUGAAUAAACAGUGUCACCAUAACAGUUCAAUGUAUUUUUA